CUACACACGUGCUACAAUGGUCGGUACAGAGGGCUGCGAACCAGCGAUGGUGAGCGAAUCCCUUAAAACCGAUCGUAGUCCGGAUUGGAGUCUGCAACUCGACUCCAUGAAGUCGGAAUCGCUAGUAAUCGCGAAUCAGAAUGUCGCGGUGAAUACGUUCCCGGGCCUUGUACACACCGCCCGUCACACCAUGGGAGUGGGUUGCUCCAGAAGUGGUUAGCCUAACCUUCGGGAGGGCGAUCACCACGGAGUGAUUCAUGACUGGGGUGAAGUCGUAACAAGGUAGCUGUACUGGAAGGUGCUGCUGGAUCACAU
rnacentral:rRNA from 14 species